UUUGAUCACGUUUUGAAUCUCUCUAGAGGGCUGUAGGUUUCAUUGCAUAUUCUGAAGAAAUCAUCUCCGUUUCCGAGGGUACCCAUUUUCAUAUGUGUUUUUAUCUAGACGUGAAGUUGUAACAGAACUGCCUGAAGUUUGGCAAAAUAUUGUCGAGGGUGAGGGUGAGGAAAUUGUGGUAUAAGAAUGUUUCUUUGUCUCUGUGUCUCACAUCACAAGUAUUACACGUCAUGUCUGGUCCCUAUUGUCCCGCUUGCUCUCCUUCCAAUGUUCCUCGUCGUAUUUCCCCCUUAUGGCGGAGAUUGUAUUGUUGUUGAUAAACUAGAAGCAAUUCAACAGCUCAGUAAUCUUUAACCCAUGUCAUAAAAUGCAGCGGAUUUGACGUUUGCUGCUAGUGAUGGUCAUGAUGCCCUAGAACAUCUGACGAACAGUUACUCCGUAACAAUUUCUGCUCGGGGGAUUAUGUAUCAAAUUCUUGAAAGGGAAGACGUUGUACAGCAUUUGGAAGCCUACGGUUCUGCCAAUUCAUUUUCCAUGGCACUAGCAUACGAUCGUUUUGGGCUCUCUUACCUUGAUACAUCUCUUGUUCUUAAAGAGUUCAUGAACCAUGGAAGGAUAAAUGGGGUUUCUUACCCGCUUCAAUUUAUUCAACAUCUGCCUUGACCCUCGAGAGCCACUGUAUUUUGCUCCAGAAUAAGUCCAAGUAUAUUUAUUUUGUAAACAGAAUUUUUAACUCGUUGGCACAGAAAUAACCAGAAAUUUUUUCAUUUGUACUGGCCUCAGUAAUUCUGUUGUAGUUUCCUGCGGUCGUAAUGUUAUUUGCCACAGGAUCCUUCAUACUGGCGGUUUACUUUUUAAGGUGUAUGUUUUCAGGGACACCAUGACGUUCUUAGGUGUUCGUGGUCUGAUACAAGUGAAGGAGACCACGUUUCAGUGCGAAAUCUUUUGCAAGGGUUUUCUCUGCAGCAGCUACGAUUGAAGAGGCUGAUCCAGGCACGGAGGUCGCAGGUCGUAGUUGGACCAGGAAGACUAUCGAUGUCUUCUCUCAACAUCUCAAGCCUUAUUCACAAUCUCAAGAUUAUGUGAACUUGCAGUCGAGGGUUUGAACAUAAAUUUCUUUUCAAUUAUUCAAAUAUUCCCCGACCCGUGAUUCACUGACAUUUAUUGAAAGUCCCACAGACCUCACGUCUAAUCAUCCUCUGAUUGAAAAGGUUUUCAAGAAGGAUGGAGUAGUCACUAGUUGUUAACGUGGGGUCUGAAAUUAAUUUCCAAAGCGUUCAAAUGCAUCUGAUCGCUGGUCAAUUGUGUUUUUUGAUCACUCUCCAAUGACAUUUGCACAGGCAUAUCUAGCAGACUUUGCAGGGUUUUUUCUAUGGCUCUAAAAGCAUUCAUAAAUGAAGGCUGACUUUCUUAGAGAUAGAAAAGCAUAACGGAUUUCAUGCCUUUAAUCAAGGCCAAGGCAGAAUUGGGCUAUUGUCAGCUUUAUUGGUGCGACUGUACGCACCAUCUCAAUACUAGAAACCAAUUUUGAA